rnacentral:piRNA from 1 species
UCUCUGCUGGCAUGGUAAUGACCUG